rnacentral:tRNA from 1 species
CAUUAGGUGGCUGAAAGCAAGCAAUGGUCUCUUAAACCAAACUAUAGUAAUUUAGCAACUACUCCUAAUGA